rnacentral:rRNA from 1 species
AGCGAACGCUGGCGGCAGGCCUAACACAUGCAAGUCGAACGGCAGCACAGGAGAGCUUGCUCUCUGGGUGGCGAGUGGCGGACGGGUGAGGAAUACAUCGGAAUCUACCUUUUCGUGGGGAAUAACGUAGGGAAACUUACGCUAAUACCGCAUACGACCUACGGGUGAAAGUGGGGGAACGCAAGGCCUCACGCGAUUAGAUGAGCCGAUGUCCGAUUAGCGAGUUGGGGGGGUAAUGGCCCACCAAGGCGACGAUCGGUAGCUGGUCUGAGAGGAUGAUCAGCCACACUGGGACUGAGACACGGUCCAGACCCCUACGGGAGGCAGCAGUGGGGAAUAUUGGACAAUGGGCGCGAGCCUGAUCCAGCCAUACCGCGUGGGUGAAGAAGGCCUUCGGGUUGUAAAGCCCUUUUGUUGGGAAAGAAAUCCUGUCGAUUAAUACUCGGUGGGGAUGACGGUACCCAAAGAAUAAGCACCGGCUAACUUCGUGCCAGCCGCCGCGGUAAGAC